rnacentral:rRNA from 1 species
ACAGAGGGCCCGAGCGUUAGUCGGAAUUACUGGGCUUAAAGGGUGCGCAGGCGGAUCGGCAGGCAUCUUGUGAAAUCCCCCGGCUCAACCUGGGAACUGCCUUUGUGACUGCAAGGCUGGAGUGCGGCAGAGGGGGAUGGAAUUCCGCGUGUAGCAGUGAAAUGCGUAGAUAUGCGGAGGAACACCGAUGGCGAAGGCAAUCCCCUGGGCCUGCACUGACGCUCAUGCACGAAAGCGUGGGGAGCAAACAG